GGAUGAACGCUGGCGGCGUGCCUAAUACAUGCAAGUCGAGCGAACGGACGAGAAGCUUGCUUCUCUGAUGUUAGCGGCGGACGGGUGAGUAACACGUGGAUAACCUACCUAUAAGACUGGGAUAACUUCGGGAAACCGGAGCUAAUACCGGAUUAUAUUUUGAACCGCAUGGUUCAAAAGUGAAAGACGGUCUUGCUGUCACUUAUAGAUGGAUCCGCGCUGCAUUAGCUAGUUGGUAAGGUAACGGCUUACCAAGGCAACGAUGCAUAGCCGACCUGAGAGGGUGAUCGGCCACACUGGAACUGAGACACGGUCCAGACUCCUACGGGAGGCAGCAGUAGGGAAUCUUCCGCAAUGGGCGAAAGCCUGACGGAGCAACGCCGCGUGAGUGAUGAAGGUCUUCGGAUCGUAAAACUCUGUUAUUAGGGAAGAACAUAUGUGUAAGUAACUGUGCACAUCUUGACGGUACCUAAUCAGAAAGCCACGGCUAACUACGUG
rnacentral:rRNA from 1 species